GCCCGUGUGAUGGAAUGGUAGACAUAACAGACUUAAAAUCUGUGGCCUUCGGGCGUGGCGGUUCGAGUCCGCCCACGGGUACCA
rnacentral:tRNA from 7 species